rnacentral:rRNA from 1 species
UACGAAGGGGACUAGCGUUGUUCGGAAUCACUGGGCGUAAAGCGCACGUAGGCGGAUGUGUCAGUCAGGGGUGAAAUCCCGGGGCUCAACCUCGGAACUGCCUUUGAUACAGCACGUCUCGAGUCCGGAAGAGGUGGGCGGAAUUCCUAGUGUAGAGGUGAAAUUCGUAGAUAUUAGGAAGAACACCGGUGGCGAAGGCGGCCCACUGGUCCGGUACUGACGCUGAGGUGCGAAAGCGUGGGGAGCAAACAGG